rnacentral:tRNA from 1 species
GCGGUCGUAGCUGAGUUGGUCUAGAGCUCUGGAUUGUGGUUCCAGAUGUCGCGGGUUCGAAUCCCGUCGAUCGCC